rnacentral:rRNA from 1 species
UACGUAGGGCGCAAGCGUUAUCCGGAAUUAUUGGGCGUAAAGAGCUCGUAGGCGGUCUGUCGCGUCUGCCGUGAAAGUCCGGGGCUUAACUCCGGAUCUGCGGUGGGUACGGGCAGACUAGAGUGCAGUAGGGGAGACUGGAAUUCCUGGUGUAGCGGUGAAAUGCGCAGAUAUCAGGAGGAACACCGAUGGCGAAGGCAGGUCUCUGGGCUGUAACUGACGCUGAGGAGCGAAAGCAUGGGGAGCGAACAGG